CGGAGAUAGCUGGUUCUCCCGAAAUAGCUUUGGGGCUAGCCUCAAGGUGAGAGAUACGGAGGUAGAGCACUGAAUGUCCUAGGGGGUAUUGCACCUACCGAAGACUAUCAAACUCGAAUGCCGUCAUCUUAUACUUGGGAGUCAGACUGUGGGUGAUAAGAUUCAUAGUCGAAAGGGCAACAGCCCAGAUCGUCAGCUAAGGUCCCUAAAUGUAAGUUAAGUGGUAAAGGAUGUGGGAUUGCACAGACAACCAGGAUGUUGGCUUAGAAGACCACUCAUUCAAAGAGUGCGUAAUAGCUCACUGGUCGAGUGAUCCUGCGCCGAAGAUUUCAGGGCUAAAACUUACUACCGAAGCUACGGCAUCAGUAAUGAUGGGUAGGGGGCUUCCCAUACGGGUUGAAGCAUGACCGUAAGGACAUGUGGACAGUAUGGGAGUGAGAAUGUUGGCAUGAGUAGCGAGAUGUGGGUGGGAAUCCCACAGGCCGUAAACCCAAGGUUUCCAGGGAAGGUUCGUCCGCCCUGGGUUAGUCGGGACCUAAGCUGAGGCCGAAAGGCGUAGGUGAUGGACAACAGGUUGAUAUUCCUGUACUACCGAUAACCAUUUGAGAGAAGGGAUGACACAGUAGGAUAAGCUAAGCACACUGUUGGUUAUGUGUGCCCAAGCAUUGAGGCAGUCAAAGUAGGCAAAUCCGCUUUGAUAAUGCUGGGAUGUGAUGGGGAGCGAAAUUUAGUAGCGAAGUAGCUGAUUUCACACUGUCAAGAAAAGUCUCUAUCGAGGUUAAAGGUACCCGUACCGCAAACCGACACAGGUGGGUGAGGAGAGUAUCCUAAGGCCAGCGAGAGAACUGUUGUUAAGGAACUCGGCAAAAUGACCCUAACUUAGGGAUAAGGGGUGCCACCAUCAGGUGGCCGCAGAGAAUAGGCCCAAGCGACUGUUUACCAAAAACAUAGGUUUCUGCUAAGUCGCAAGACGAUGUAUAGGAGCUGACGCCUGCCCGGUGCUGGAAGGUUAAGGGGAUCUGUUAGAGCAAUCGAAGCAGUGAACUUAAGCCCCAGUAAACGGCGGCCGUAACUAUAACGGUCCUAAGGUAGCGAAAUUCCUUGUCGGGUAAGUUCCGACCCGCACGAAAGGCGUAACGAUUUGGGCACUGUCUCAACAACAGACUCGGUGAAAUUGUAAUUCCGGUGAAGAUGCCGGAUACCUGCGACAGGACGGAAAGACCCCAUGGAGCUUUACUGUAGCUUGACAUUGGGUCUUGGUACUACAUGUACAGGAUAGGUGGGAGGCUUUGAAACCAGGACGCCAGUUUUGGCGGCCAUCCUUGGGAUACCACCCUUGUAGUACUGGGACUCUAACCAUAGGCCAUGAAUCUGGUCUUGGGACACUGUCAGGUGGGCAGUUUGACUGGGGCGGUCGCCUCCCAAAAGGUAACGGAGGCGCUCAAAGGUUCUCUCAGUACGGUCGGAAAUCGUACGUAGAGUGUAAAGGCAAAGAGAGCUUGAUUGCAAGACAUACAGGUCGAGCAAGGAUGAAAAUCGGACUUAGUGAUCCGGUGGUUCUGCGUGGAAGGGCCAUCGCUCAACGGAUAAAAGCUACCCUGGGGAUAACAGGCUUAUCUCCCCAAGAGUCCACAUCGACGGGGAGGUUUGGCACCUCGAUGUCGGCUCAUCACAUCCUGGGGCUGUAGUAGGUCCCAAGGGUUGGGCUGUUCGCCCAUUAAAGUGGUACGCGAGCUGGGUUCAGAACGUCGUGAGACAGUUCGGUCCCUAUCCGUCGCAGGCGUAGGAAAUUUGAGAAGACCUGUCCUUAGUACGAGAGGACCGGGAUGGACGUACCUGGUGUACCAGUUGUUCUGCCAAGGGCAUGGCUGGGUAGCUAUGUACGGAAUGGAUAAGCGCUGAAAGCAUCUAAGCGCGAAGCCAACUUCAAGAUAAGAUUUCCCACCGCAAGGGUAAGACCCCAGAAAGACUAUCUGGUUGAUAGGUCGAAGGUGUAAGUGCGGCAAUGUAUUUAGCUUAUCGAUACUAAUAGGUCGAGGACUUGACCAA
rnacentral:rRNA from 1 species